AUUGAACGCUGGCGGCAGGCUUAACACAUGCAAGUCGAGCGAGCGGCGGACGGGUGAGUAAUGUCUGGGAAACUGCCUGAUGGAGGGGGAUCACUACUGGAAACGGUAGCUAAUACCGCAUACCAUCAGAUGUGCCCAGAUGGGAUUAGCUAGUAGGUGGGGUAAUGGCUCACCUAGGGGACGAUCCCUAGCUGGUCGGAGAGGAUGACCAGCCAAACUGGAACUGGGAACCGGUCACGACUCCUACGGGAGGCAGCGGUGGGGAAUAUGUCGCAAUGGGCGCAAGCCGGAUGCAGCCAUGCCGCGUGUAUGAAGAAGGCCUUCGGGUUGUAAAGGACUUUCAGCGGGGAGGCGUUCCGCGCCGAAGAAGCACCGGCUAACUCCGUGCCAGCAGCCGGGUAAUUC
rnacentral:rRNA from 1 species